rnacentral:rRNA from 1 species
AUUGAACGCUGGCGGCAUGCCUUACACAUGCAAGUCGAACGGCAGCGCGGGAGCAAUCCUGGCGGCGAGUGGCGAACGGGUGAGUAAUAUAUCGGAACGUGCCCAGUAGUGGGGGAUAGCCCGGCGAAAGCCGGAUUAAUACCGCAUGAGACCUGAGGGUGAAAGCGGGGGAUCGCAAGACCUCGCGCUACUGGAGCGGCCGAUAUCAGAUUAGCUAGUUGGUGGGGUAAAGGCCUACCAAGGCAACGAUCUGUAGUUGGUCUGAGAGGACGACCAGCCACACUGGGACUGAGACACGGCCCAGACUCCUACGGGAGGCAGCAGUGGGGGAAUUUUGGACAAUGGGCGCAAGCCUGAUCCAGCAAUGCCGCGUGCAGGAAGAAGGCCUCGGUUGUAAC